UACGGGGGGUGCGAGCGUUGUCCGGAAUCACUGGGCGUAAAGGGCGCGUAGGUGGUUUGAUAAGGGUGCGGUGAAAGCCCGGAGCUCAACUCCGGAAUUGCCUUUAAGACUGCAUCGCUUGAAUCAUGGAGAGGUGAGUGGAAUUCCGAGUGUAGAGGUGAAAUUCGUAGAUAUUAGGAAGAACACCAGUGGCGAAGGCGGCUCACUGGUCCGGUACUGACGCUGAGGUGCGAAAGCGUGGGGAGCAAACAGG
rnacentral:rRNA from 1 species